GAUCAGUGGCUCGAGGACGAACGCUGGCGGCGUGCUUAACACAUGCAAGUCGAACGAUGAACCGGAGCUUGCUCCGGGGAUUAGUGGCGAACGGGUGAGUAACACGUGGGCAACCUGCCCCAGACAUCGGGAUAACCAUUCGAAAGGAUGGCUAAUACCGGAUAUGACCACUUCGGGCAUCCGAUGGUGGUGGAAAGGAUUCUGGUCUGGGAUGGGCCCGCGGCCUAUCAGCUAGUUGGUGGGGUAAUGGCCUACCAAGGCGACGACGGGUAGCCGGCCUGAGAGGGCGACCGGCCACACUGGGACUGAGACACGGCCCAGACUCCUACGGGAGGCAGCAGUGGGGAAUAUUGCGCAAUGGGCGAAAGCCUGACGCAGCGACGCCGCGUGAGGGACGAAGGUCUUCGGAUUGUAAACCUCUUUCAGCAGGGACGAAGCGAAAGUGACUGUACCUGCAGAAGAAGCACCGGCUAACUACGUG
rnacentral:rRNA from 1 species